CAAGUCGAACGGCAGCACGGGAGCUUGCUCCUGGUGGCGAGUGGCGAACGGGUGAGUAAAGCAUCGGAACGUACCUUGUCGAGGGGGAUAACGCAGCGAAAGUUGUGCUAAUACCGCAUACGUCCUGAGGGAGAAAGCGGGGGACCGCAAGGCCUCGCGCGAUGAGAGCGGCCGAUGUCAGAUUAGCUAGUUGGUGAGGUAAAGGCUCACCAAGGCGACGAUCUGUAGCGGGUCUGAGAGGAUGAUCCGCCACACUGGGACUGAGACACGGCCCAGACUCCUACGGGAGGCAGCAGUGGGGAAUUUUGGACAAUGGGGGAAACCCUGAUCCAGCCAUGCCGCGUGAGUGAAGAAGGCCUUCGGGUUGUAAAGCUCUUUCGGCCGGGAAAAAAUUGCACGGAUGAACAGUCUGUGUAGAUGAUGGUACCGGACUAAGAAGCACCGGCUAACUACGUGCCAGCAGCCGCGGUAAU
rnacentral:rRNA from 1 species